AAACCCCGGGGGGGUGGGAGCGUGGCUGCCAUUCGACCCAUAAGCUUUUGCGAUCCCUCCCACUCCCACCGCCGCAUCGCAUUCUCCGUUCCGGAGCUCUCUGCUCGCAGCCAUGGCGAAGUGCUACCCGACCGUGAGCGCCGAGUACCAGGAGGCCGUCGAGAAGGCCAGGCGCAAGCUCCGCGCCCUCAUCGCCGAGAAGAGCUGCGCCCCUCUCAUGCUCCGUCUCGCGUGGCACUCGGCGGGGACGUUCGACGUGUCCUCUAAGACCGGCGGCCCCUUCGGUACGAUGAAGAACCCGGCGGAGCAGGCGCACGGCGCCAACGCGGGUCUGGACAUCGCCGUGCGGAUGCUCGAGCCCGUCAAGGAGGAGUUCCCCAUCCUCUCCUACGCCGAUCUGUACCAGCUUGCGGGAGUUGUGGCCGUGGAGGUGACCGGUGGACCUGAGGUCCCCUUCCACCCCGGUAGGGAGGACAAGCCUCAGCCCCCACCUGAGGGCCGCCUUCCUGAUGCUACUAAGGGUUCUGACCAUCUGAGGCAAGUCUUUGGCAAGCAGAUGGGCUUGAGCGAUCAGGACAUUGUUGCCCUCUCUGGUGGCCACACCUUGGGAAGGUGCCACAAGGAGCGAUCUGGUUUUGAGGGGCCCUGGACUAGAAACCCUUUGGUCUUUGACAACUCUUACUUCAAGGAACUUCUGAGUGGUGACAAAGAGGGCCUCCUUCAGCUUCCAAGUGACAAAGCCCUGCUGAGCGACCCUGUCUUCCGCCCUCUUGUGGAGAAAUAUGCUGCGGUAUGCCUGCAGUUAACAUUAUCCAGAUUAUGGAGAUAUGUAAGAGACAUCCUAAUUGUUGAUUGCAUUCUAGGAUGAGAAGGCUUUCUUUGAUGACUACAAGGAGGCCCACCUCAAGCUCUCUGAACUGGGGUUUGCUGAUGCGUAAAUGGCGUAUCCUAGACUACUACGUGCUGCUGCUUGUAUGGGAUCAUGUAAUUUUGUUUUGCAUCUGGAGUCAGUGUGAACCAGCAGAUUAAGUAUCUUGUCUUUAAUAAAUUUGUUACCCUGCCCAUGGCCAUUAUUGAUACUUUGUCGAUGUUUGAAUGGGGGGUGUUUGGCUAGACUCUGAUGCUGUAUGUCACUGAAACUACAAGAUCUAUGAUCUACCUUAUGAAUGCAGUACGUUCUGUUGCCUCAAA